UACAGAGGUCCCAAGCGUUGCUCGGAAUCACUGGGCGUAAAGCGCACGUAGGCGGCUUUCUAAGUCAGGGGUGAAAUCCUGGAGCUCAACUCCAGAACUGCCUUUGAUACUGGAAAGCUUGAGUUCGGGAGAGGUGAGUGGAACUGCGAGUGUAGAGGUGAAAUUCGUAGAUAUUCGCAAGAACACCAGUGGCGAAGGCGACUACCUGGCCUGUUUCUUGACGCUGAGGCGCGAAAGCUAGGGGAGCAAACGGG
rnacentral:rRNA from 1 species